UACGAAGGGGGCUAGCGUUGCUCGGAAUCACUGGGCGUAAAGCGCACGUAGGCGGAUUGUUAAGUCAGAGGUGAAAUCCUGGAGCUCAACUCCAGAACUGCCUUUGAUACUGGCAAUCUCGAGUCCGGGAGAGGUGAGUGGAACUGCGAGUGUAGAGGUGAAAUUCGUAGAUAUUCGCAAGAACACCAGUGGCGAAGGCGGCUCACUGGCCCGGUACUGACGCUGAGGUGCGAAAGCUAGGGGAGCGAACGGG
rnacentral:rRNA from 1 species